UACGUAGGCGGCCUUUUAAGUCGGAUGUGAAAGCCCCGGGCUCAACCUGGGAAUUGCAUUCGAUACUGGGAGGCUAGAGUUUGGCAGAGGCUGACGGAAUUCCUGGUGUAGCGGUGAAAUGCGUAGAUAUCAGGAGGAACAUCAGUGGCGAAGGCGGUCAGCUGGGCCAAAACUGACGCUGAGGUACGAAAGCGUGGGGAGCAAACA
rnacentral:rRNA from 1 species